AGAAAAGUAUUUAAAAACUAUAAAAUCUAACUUGCAAUUAGAAAUUGAUCUUUCCUUUUCUA
rnacentral:tRNA from 1 species